AAUCCUUCUCAAAAACCCCCCAGAAUUCCCUAUUUCCCGGCGAUGAGGGGGCGGCGCAGGACGACGAUGACGGAGUCGCCGUGUGGGGGAUUCUGGAAGGUUCUGGAAGGUUCCGGAAGGUUCUGGGAGGUUCUAGAAGGUUCUGGGAUGAUCCUGGAAGGUUCUGGGAGGAUCCUGGAAGGUUCUAGAAGGUUCUGGGAUGAUCCUGGAAGGUUCUAGAAGGUUCUGGGAGGUUCUUGGAAGGUUCUGGAAGGUUCUGGGAUGAUCCUGGAAAGUUCUAGAAGGUUCUGGGAGGUUCUAGAAGGUUCUGGGAUGAUCCUGGAAGGUUCUAGAAGGUUCUGGGAGGUUCUGGGAUGAUCCUGGAAGGUUCUAGAAGGUUCUGGGAUGAUCCUGGAAGGUUCCAGACGGUUCUGGGAGGUUCUAGAAGGUUCUGGGAUGAUCCAGGAGGUUCUGGGAUGAUCCUGGAAGGUUCUAGAAGGUUCUGGGAGGUUCUCGGAUGAUCCUGGAAGGUUCUGGGAGGUUCUAGAAGGUUCCGGAAUGAUCCUGGAAGGUUCUAGAAGGUUCUGAGAUGAUCCAGAAGGUUCUGGGAUGAUCCAGGGGAUGUUCCCUAUUUGCCGGCGAUGAGGGGGUUGCGCAGGACGACGAUGACGGAGUCGCCGUGUGGGGGAAUCCUAGAAGGUUCUGGAAGGUUCUGGGAGGUUCUGGGAUGAUCCUGGAAGGUUCUAGAAGGUUCUGGGAGGUUCUGGGAUGAUCCUGGAAGGUUCUAGAAGGUUCUGGGAUGAUCCUGGAAGGUUCUGG